UAAAAAUUUACUUAUUUUAGGUAGUAAUAGAUUUCUUGAAACCUAAAGAAUUUGGCGGUAUUUUAAAUAAUUAGAGGAACCUGUUAAAUAAAUGAUAAUCCACAACAUAUCUUACCUAAAUUAAGUUUGUAUACCGUUGUUUUCAGAUUAUAUUUAAAGAUUAUGAUCAAAAUUAAUAAAUUUUUGUAAAUCAAAUCAAGGUGCAGCACAUUUAGGUUUUAAUGGGUUACAAUAUAUUAUAUAUAUACGAAUUAAUUAUGAAAAUGUUUUUGAAGGUGGAUUUAAAAGUAAUUUAAAAUUAAAAUGUUUAAAUGAAUAAAAAUUUAAAAUAUGU
rnacentral:rRNA from 1 species